CCUCCUUUUCUUUGCAGGCCUGGGUCUUGCAUUGCCCAACUCUGUAAUGUCUGUAGGUAAAUGAGUGUCCACCCAAGGUCUUCAAUGCCAGCGGCUUUGCCAUCUGGUGGUUCUAUCUUCAAGCACUGGGACAAAG